UGGGCUUCCAACCGCCAUUGUUCCCCUGGGCUGGCGAGCCCACCAACCUACCUUCAGUCAUAGACUGGUUACAACGCAGUGAGGAGGUCUGGGACCAAGCUCAUACCCACUUGCUACAUGCUGUGAGAAGAACAGAACAACAGGCCA